CAGCUGCAGCAUGGCCAUAAUGGUUUCUCAGAGGUGCUCUUGCAGCAGAGUGUGGUUGGGUGCAAUGGCUGAUGUGUGGGGUAGGUAAACUCACACCUCUGUCUCUUCAUUUGUGGUCUCAGGCUGUGAUCAGGCAUGUUAUUCCAGAUGGAAUUGAGCCAGGCUUUUCUCUUCCUUGCGGACAACUGAUGAGCCAGAUUGUCUACCAAGGUCCUGAUGCCAGCUGCUCUGGCCUCCCCUCACCCUCUGCCCUUUUGUGUGGGGUGGCUCUGUGGGCAACCUGUGCACCUCACCUGUGAGAAACAGCCCCAAGAACAUGGGAGUAGGAUAAUAAAGUCAGGCAACCAUCAAAGAUCUCCA
rnacentral:lncRNA from 1 species